AGGCAGCAAACCCAUUUUUCUUGUUGGCUGGUCCCAAUGUGAUUGAAUCUGAAGAGCAUGUUUUUCGAAAGGCUAAGCAGAUUAAGACCAUUGCGUUGAAGUGCUUCACUUGAUGACCAAUGUUUUUCUGUAGAUGAGGAGAGCAUCUAAGCAUGGUUGCAACCUUUGUCAUUGUUUGCCAAUGGACUUGUCAGGGAGAGAAAUUCAUCAACCUCAUCAAGCCUAAUAUAUAUUCUAGUAGCCAAAGGUUAAUUCCUGGUAGGCUGGUAUGUUUUAAAUAAUUUUCUUUUGGAUAUAUAAUCUGCAAUA